rnacentral:rRNA from 1 species
UACAGAGGUGGCAAGCGUUGUUCGGAAUUACUGGGCGUAAAGGGCGCGUAGGCGGCCUUCUAAGUCAGACGUGAAAUCCCCCGGCUUAACCUGGGAACUGCGUCUGAUACUGGGAGGCUCGAGUAUGGGAGAGGGAUGUAGAAUUCCAGGUGUAGCGGUGAAAUGCGCAGAUAUCAGGAGGAACACCGGUGGCGAAGGCGGGUCUCUGGGCCGAUACUGACGCUGAGGAGCGAAAGCGUGGGGAGCAAACAGG